rnacentral:tRNA from 1 species
UCGGGAUAGCUCANCUGGUAGAGCAGAGGACUGAAAAUCCUCCGUGUCAC